AAAAAGUCAAACCCUUAAUUUCUGUGUCCAACUUUGAUGGUCCGUCUUAUAUAAAUUUUUUUUAUAAUUCGUAUUUUUAUUGUUGUUAGAUGAUUUAAAACAUGAUUAAUAUUUUAUACGUGACUUGUCUUUUUAAUUUUUUUCAUAAUUUUUUAAAUAAAACGUACGGUCCAAUAUUAGGCACGGAAAUUAGGGUUUGUCUUUUU
rfam:Oryza sativa (indica cultivar-group) chromosome 3, whole genome shotgun sequence.